ACGGGGGGUGCAAGCGUUGUUCGGAAUUAUUGGGCGUAAAGAGCGUGUAGGCGGCUGGAUGUGUCAGAUGUGAAAGCCCUGGGCUUAACCCAGGAAGUGCAUUUGAAACUGUCCGGCUUGAGUAGGGGAGAGGGAAGUGGAAUUCCUGGUGUAGAGGUGGAAGUCGUAGAUAUCAGGCGGAACGCCGGUGGCGAAUGCGACUUACUGGCCGUAUACUGAUGCUGAGACGCGAGAGUGUGGGUAGCAAACAG
rnacentral:rRNA from 1 species